rnacentral:piRNA from 1 species
UGGAAGCUCACGCAUGUGACUCCAGUUGC